AUUGAACGCUGGCGGCAGGCCUAACACAUGCAAGUCGAACGAGUGGCGGACGGGUGAGCAAUGUCUGGGAAACUGCCUGAUGGAUGGGGAUAACUACUGGAAACUGUAGCUAAUUCCGUAUACCAUCGGAUGUGCCCAGGUGGGAUUAGCUAGUAGGUGGGGUAAAGGCUCACCUAGGCGACGAUCCCUAGCUGGUCUGAGAGGAUGACCAGCCACACUGGAACUGAGACACGGUCCAGACUCCUACGGGAGGCAGCAGUGGGGAAUAUUGCACAAUGGGCGCAAGCCUGAUGCAGCCAUGCCGCGUGUAUGAAGAAGGCCUUCGGGUUGUAAAGUACUUUCAGCGGGGAGGCGUUACCCGCAGAAGAAGCACCGGCUAACUCCGUGCCAGCAGCCGCGGUAAUAC
rnacentral:rRNA from 1 species